UCCGGGGUAGUCUAACGGUAGGACAGCGGAAUUUGGAUCCGUUAAUCUUGGUUCGAAUCCAAGCCCCGGAACCA
rnacentral:tRNA from 1 species